rnacentral:rRNA from 1 species
AGUAGUCAUAUGCUUGUCUCAAAGAUUAAGCCAUGCAUGUCUCAGUACAAGCCAAAUUAAGGUGAAACCGCGAAAGGCUCAUUAAAUCAGUUAUGGUUCCUUAGAUCGUACCCACAUUUACUUGGAUAACUGUGGUAAUUCUAGAGCUAAUACAUGCAAACAGAGCUCCGACCGGAGACGGAAGGAGCGCUUUUAUUAGAUCAAAACCAAUCGGCGGCGGGUUCGCCCGUUCGUCGUACAACUUGGUGAAUCUGAAUAACUUUCUGCUGAUCGCAUGGUCUCGCACCGGCGACGCAUCUUUCAAAUGUCUGCCUUAUCAACUGUCGAUGGUAGGUUCUGCGCCUACCAUGGUUGUAACGGGUAACGGGGAAUCAGGGUUCGAUUCCGGAGAGGGAGCCUGAGAAACGGCUACCACAUCCAAGGAAGGCAGCAGGCGCGCAAAUUACCCACUCCCGGCACGGGGAGGUAGUGACGAAAAAUAACGAUACGGGACUCAUCCGAGGCCCCGUAAUCGGAAUGAGUACACUCUAAACCCUUUAACGAGGAUCAUUUGGAGGGCAAGUCUGGUGCCAGCAGCCGCGGUAAUUCCAGCUCCAAUAGC